rnacentral:precursor_RNA from 1 species
GAGAGAGAAUGCAAGAACUUUUGAUAACAACAGUUUGGUCAGUAUUUCUUUUUCUU